AUGAAACACUCCUACGGGAGGCAGCAGUGGGGAAUAUUGGGCAAUGGGCGCAAGCCUGACCCAGCGACGCCGCGUGGGUGAUGAAGGCCUUCGGGUUGUAAAACCCUUUCGUGCGGAAAGAACAGCCCUGUAGUUAAUAUCUGCAGGGUUUGACGGUACCGCAGGAAGAAGCACCGGCUAACUCCGUGCCAGCAGCCGCGGUAAUACGGAGGGUGCAAGCGUUGUUCGGAAUUAUUGGGCGUAAAGGGCGCGUAGGUGGUUGUGAUAGUCAGAUGUGAAAUCCUUGGGCUUAACUGAAGAACUGCAUGUGAAACUUCAUAACUCGAGUACAGGAGAGGGAAACGGAAUUCCCGGUGUAGAGGUGAAAUUCGUAGAUAUCGGGAGGAACACCAGUGGCGAAGGCGGUUUCCUGGCCUGAUACUGACACUGAGGCGCGAAAGCGUGGGGAGCAAACAGGAUUAGAAACCCGAGUAGUCCGAAGUUC
rnacentral:rRNA from 1 species